UGUGGCAGCCCCUCAAAUACUGGAAUACUGCUAUCAUACCCCUCCCCAGUCCUUUUCUUCUCUAGACUAGCCAUACCCAGGU